rnacentral:misc_RNA from 1 species
AACCAUAGAAACCUGCGGAGUACCUGCGGAAGGAUCAUUACAGAGUUGCAAAACUCCCUAAACCAUUGUGAACGUUACCUAAACCGUUGCUUCGGCGGGCGGCCCGGGUCCUUCCCGGCGCCCCUCGGCCCUCGCGGGCGCCCGCCGGAGGUAAACCAAACUAUUGCAUUGUAUGGCCUCUCUGAGUCUCCUGUACUGAAUAAGUCAAAACUUUCAGCAAUGGAUCUCAGAUCGGAAGAG